rnacentral:rRNA from 1 species
GCAUAUCAAUAAGCGGAGGAAAAGAAACCAACAGGGAUUGCCCUAGUAACGGCGAGUGAAGCGGCAACAGCUCAAAUUUGAAAUCUGGCCUCACGGUCCGAAUUGUAAUUUGUAGAGGAUGUUUCUGGCGACGUGUCUUCCGAGUUCCCUGGAACGGGACGCCAUAGAGGGUGAGAGCCCCGUCCGGUCGUACGCCUAGCCUCUGUGAAACUCCUUCGACGAGUCGAGUAGUUUGGGAAUGCUGCUCUAAAUGGGAGGUAUACGUCUUCUAAAGCUAAAUACCGGCCAGAGACCGAUAGCGCACAAGUAGAGUGAUCGAAAGAUGAAAAGCACUUUGAAAAGAGGGUUAAAUAGUACGUGAAAUUGCUGAAAGGGAAGCGCUUAUGACCAGACUUGGGCUCGGUGAAUCAUCCGGCGUUCUCGCCGGUGCACUUUGCCGUCCCAGGCCAGCAUCAGUUCGCGCCGGGGGAUAAAGGUUUCGGGAAUGUAGCUCCCUCGGGAGUGUUAUAGCCCGUUGCGUAAUACCCUGGCGUGGACUGAGGUCCGCGCUCUGCAAGGAUGCUGGCGUAAUGGUCAUCAGUGACCCGUCUUGAAACACGGACC